GAUGAACGCUAGCUACAGGCUUAACACAUGCAAGUCGAGGGACCGGCGCACGGGUGAGUAACACGUAUCCAACCUGCCCUUUACUCGGUGAUAGCCUUUCGAAAUGAAUAUUAAUACCCGAUAUGAAGGAUGGGGAUGCGUUCCAUUAGGUUGUUGGUGAGGUAACGGCUCACCAAGCCUUCGAUGGAUAGUGGUGCUGGGAGGAAGGGCCCGCAGACUGUAACUGAGACACGGUCCAAACGCAUACGGGAGGCAGCAGUGAUGAAUAUUUGGCCAUUGGUCUGAGCCUGAACCGGCCAAGUAGCGUGAAGGAUGAAGGGUUAUGGGUCGUAAACUUCUUGUAUAUAAGAAUAUGUAUUAUAUGAAUAAGGACCGGUUAAUUCCGUGCCAGCAGCGGGGUUAUUC
rnacentral:rRNA from 1 species